GGCAAUGAAUCUCUCUUUCCACCGCGGAGAGUCUGCUGAUUAAAAUGGAGGCGAUCUGACUGUCAGGAUGGAUGAGAGAUUGGAGAGCGAAGCGGCGUCGGCGUGAUUCACCGGCUCUGCGCAGAUGAAACAGUCGCAGGCUGAGCUGGGAAUGGACAUCUCUAAUGAGGAUAAGAACAUCUUAGAAAGAGAGGGGCUGACAGAGGACUGGAGGGGCUGUUUAAUUCUGCCACUGACCUGAAAGAGAUCAUCAGACAAUGAAAACACCUUUCUCAGGUGCUGGACUUUGGCGACAGGCUUGUCAUUCCCAAUGAGUACACAGAGGAGAAGACGACCUCAGGGACUUGGUGGAAGCAGCUGGUUGCCAGAGCAACUACAGGACUGGUAUGCAGGACAGGAAUCUUUUUGGCCGAACUACAGUUUCGUUUUAUGCAAGUGCAUCAUUAGCAUUUCUCAAUAACAGACUGACUUUCUAGUCUGUUUCAACUGUUGAAGUGAUGCUGAAAAUAUCACAUGAUAUACCAGAUAUUACUGACUUUUAAUAGUUUCAUAAGAAAUGCACUGCACUGUGAUUAAUUCGGUUGAUGUUGUGACUGGGUUUCAGGUCCAUUCUUUCCGAUAAAACCAAACAAACAGAUGUCCCUGUGGAAAUGAAAUGUAAUCAUGUUAAAAAUUGCACCAGAAUCCACCAUGACAGGCAGGAUCCUGAAUAAAUAUUUGAGCAUAAAUGACUCAGUCUUAGUCUGAUAUAAAAGGAUUUCCAGCAAAGAAUAACCAUAGACAAUUGCAUAUUAUGCACUAUGUGCAUGUGAAAAAAUGCUUGGAAACGUCACGAUUGAAGACCUACCAUUAAACUUGAACUACAUUCAUUACUUCACCAUGGCAACAAGGCAGAAAAUAAUGUUUUAGAAUAAAAAAAAUUAUUACUAAAAAAAGAUUGCAUCAUCAGCUGUUGGAUAUAUAAAGACAUCCAACUUUACCCAGUGUAUUUGUGUAGGGAAAUAUAUAGUAAAUCUUAACGGCUUGAUUGCUUGUAUCACAUCCAAAUGUAAACUAUAUUAUUGCAAAGCUCUAACCUGCAAACAUGAUUUUCUGUAAAGCUGCUUGAGUUGACAUCACUGAUAUUAUAUUUUUGCAAGUACAAAGUAUAGUUUAACCCUUUUAAAACCAACACAUCAACUAGAACCAGCAAAACCAAUAGGGAAAUGGAGGCAUAAAGGCCUUUUAUACAGGCUACAUCCCCAGCAUCCUGGGCAUUAUUCCAUAUACAGCCAUCGAUCUUGGCAUUUAUGAGGUACAUGCACAAAAAGCACUUGCACAAUAAGCAAGUGGUAUUUUAUGGCAUCAUACCUAUAAAUAAAUAUCUUGUAAUGGAAUUGGCUUACCAUUUUAUCCUUGGAUUGUUUCAUUUGUAAUCGACUCCAUCGGACUGUACUUCCACAUCUCUGCCGGUUGCCUUAUUGAUUCCCUGUAAUGUAAUACACCUCUGUAAUGCUGUCACUAAAUCAUACAGGAAUAUAUGAGGCUGUGUUUCAGAUAUUAACACUGACGGCCACUUGAAGGGAAACUCUCAAUGAGGAUGAUUGAUUUAUAGGUAGCGCCAGUGUUUAUCAUUGUCAUAAACCGUGGUGCUCCUCAACAUCACAAAUAUCACAUUAAAAACUACUUAAGUCUCAUCAAAUGCUCUCCGUGGGAUUACAAAUAAUGCAAUGAGCCUAUAAAUUGCUGUCUGGUUUUAAUUAACAUUAAUAAUAAAAUGUCACUUGCAUACAGUGCGGUAUAAACACUCUACUAUUAAGUAUGCAUUUUAGGUGGGAAAUGGUUUUGUACUUCUAUUCCAAUUUUUAGUUAAAAUUUCUGAAUCUUUGGAAGUCUGACCAAAUAAUGAAUCAAGAAUGAGUAUACUCCUCUUUAUGCAUAUAAUGAUAUGGCAGAAAUAGUAUGUUGUAUGGCUGAAUUCAAAGUUGAGUCAGCAAGUUUUAUAAAAUAUUUCUGAAAUAAGUAUAUCAUGCUCACCAAGGCUGUAUUUCUUUAAUCAAACAUACAGUAAAAACAAUGAUACUGUAAAAAAUUAUAAUAACUCUUAUAUUUUAUUUUAAAAUGUAAUCAUUAGAAAUCAUUCUAAUAUACUGAUUUGCUGCUCAAGAAACAUUUCUGAUUAUUAUCAAUGUUUAAAACAAUUGUGCCACUUAAUAUUUAAGUAGAAACAGAUCAUUUUUUCAGGAUUCUUUGAUGAAGAGUUCAAAAACAGCAUUUAUCUGAAACAGAAAUCUAACAUUAGGAAUUAAAUUGUAUUAAUUUAAUGAAUCCUUGUUGAAUAAAAGUAUUUAUUUUUAUGCAUGUUAUGCAUCUAGCUAUUUUCAGCUGUACAAAACAGCUUGUUUUGCUGCUUGAUAUUCCAAAUUGGUGUGUCCUAACAUGUUGUUAAUGCAUUAUUAUUAAUUAUGAACACACUGGUUAAGUGCAAACAGUUUUACCAUUUACUGCACGUUGUUAUUCUCUUAAUAAUGAACCAGAAGUCUGGCCUAGAGGCUUUCUUCCGUAUUGAAGAAUAUAAGGUAGAUAGUGAUGCUUUAGUAAACACCACGAAAAUAGUAGGAGUAGUAUGGUAAUUAGCUAUUCUAAACAAUCCCUUAAUCAAAGUCAGUAAUUUCUUUCCAACUGAGCCUUAAAAACCUAUCUUCGCUACACUAAAACACAGUACUAACCCCGGCGUCCGGUUCCUGCUGGCCCGCGGGACAUUCUCUAGCAUGCGCGGGCAGUUAGCCAGCUCUCCCCGGGCACUGCUGCGCACCCGUAUGCAGGCACAAGCUAGCUCUGUGCUCCUUGAGAGAAUCCCUAUCAGACGCUCUUUAUGUCUUAAUUGAGGACAAAUCUGUUAGCGCAAGGCCAGCGUGCGUGCGUGGGCUCCUCGCUGCUGUCACCCGAGCACAGAUGAAAUGAAUGGAGAGACUUUUAAAUGUGCUGAGCUGAGCUGGCAGACGCUGGAUGUUGAGAUGGUUUGUUUUUACCUCAAAGCAGCUUAAAGUUUUUGUUUGCAGUGUGAUUUAUUGAUUGUAGUGUAUUUCGCUAAAUGGUAUUAAAAAGAUGAAGU